CCACUCUCACCUGUGUGAACCUCAGCAAAGCCUGUGCGAAGGCCUGGCAGCCCAACAACGAAGCCCUGGUCCAGAAAUGCUGUCCAGCCAGAGAUCAUGCAGUGAAUAAGGAGAGGUGGAUCCUCCACCCAGAAAGAUCAGAACUGGAGAGUCAUCUUUCUUAUUAGAGGGAGUUCAUUUCUUUGGCUUUUUUCCACUGGACUUGGACAUAGAUGGAGAGAGGGAGGAAGUCUGUGAGGCAGUCUCUCAGGGCAGGCCCCUUCCCUCUCCCCCUUUCUUCAGGACAUUGACAGUAAGCUGACUGUUCACAGGAACACAGUGUCUCUGUGUCCACCAACCUGGUCACAAGAAGACUGCUUGGGCUGGAAUCUAUCCUGUCCUUGGGCAUCAUCCCCAGCUGCCCUCUAUAGCUCCACAUGCUGGGAACUCUGAAGAUUUCUACAUCUAAUGCAAAGCUUGAGGAGCAACUCCAAUCAG